GGCAGCUGAACUCUUUCUUCUUUUUAAAGUCUGAGGCUUUUUUAAUGUGUUGAGUAGAAGUCUGAAGUAGGUUUAAAAUGAAAGGGAGACAGUCACCCAGUGGUAAGUUUCCAUUUCCUAGUUUGGGGAAAGGGAAGAAGAAAUUGCCCAGACGAUAGGAAGGAGGAGAUUGGAACAGGAUGACUUUAGUAAAGGAACACAGAGAGAAAUAGCAGGGAGGAGCAUUCUGAUUCCGGAAUUUAAUGAACAAGGAAAAGCAAAGGCUGAAGAAAGAGAGAGAGAAAACUACACAGAGCCACAUUAAAGACCCGUCACCCCCUAAUCCCGCCUCCUCCUUUGAAGGACCAUGAUUGGCCUCUUUGAUCCCAGCACUUGGUAACCAGACGAUGAGCUCUGCCAAUUAUUUAACCCCCCUCCCAUCUGCUUUUGCCUCUCUCCCAAUAUAAUUGAUUUAUUUCCUUUGCAGCUGAUCAAGAAACCAUGGGAGCUUUGAAAGCAAGGGAACAACAUCAAAUAUGUGCAUGUGUGUGUGUGUGUGUUUAACUAUUUAAUAAAAACACCCUUGAAAAAAUGGAGACA